rnacentral:rRNA from 1 species
AGUGAAUAAUUCAACGGCCGCGGUACCCUAACCGUGCAAAGGUAGCAUAAUCACUUGUCUAUUAAUUGUAGACCAGCAUGAAUGGCAAAAUGAAGGCCUAACUGUCUCUUAUAGUAAAUCAAUUAAACUGAUCUCCUAGUAAAAAAGCUAGAAUAAUCUCAUAAGACCAGAAGACCCUGUGAAGCUUAAACUACACUAUUAAAUCUCAUAAUAGCUACUUUCGGUUGGGGCGACCUUGGAAAAAAAAAGAACUUCCAAACAACGACCAUAAAUCGCACACAUAGGCCUACAAGCCCAACUUGACCCAGUAAAACUGAUAAUCGAACUAAGUUACUCCAGGGAUAACAGCGCCAUCUUCUUCAAGAGUCCAUAUCAAAAAGAAGGUUUACGACCUCGAUGUUGGAUCAGGACAUCCUAA